AUUUUUGACCAUAUGAACACAUAAUACUUUAGGGUUUAGACCUUGCAUGAUGUUUUUGGUGUUACAAUUGUUCCUAGAGCUGUAGAAACAUGCAAGAGAUCAGUAUUUAUAAGAACUUUUUAUUCUUUAAGUUAAACAAUUAUGUAUUUUACUAUUAAAAUUCUGUCUCAUUGGUUCAUAUUUCUUGAUAGCAGAUGCUUGUUAUGACUCGGAAGCAACAACGAAAGCCUUCUUAUUCAGCAAAGGAUGAAAAGCAAUCUGAAAUUUGAUGACUUUGUGGUGGCAAAAGAAGUGUGGAAAUGUUGUGUGGUGAUGAUCUUUAUGCUUUGUACAGAUGGAUAGUAGUAGAACUCUAGGUUUUUUCUCUGUACUUCCUGUUAAUUGCUUUGUUUCGAUAAUUAACUGUUCAAUGCCUAUGUAUAUGGUUUGCUGCACUCGUUUCUCUCUUCGUUUCUUAGUAAUAAGCCUUUCACCUUUCCAAAGCAUG